rnacentral:rRNA from 1 species
AUUGAACGCUGGCGGAAUGCUUUACACAUGCAAGUCGAACGGCAGCACGGGGCAACCUGGUGGCGAGUGGCGAACGGGUGAGUAAUACAUCGGAACGUGCCCAAUCGUGGGGGAUAACGUAGCGAAGUUACGCUAAUACCGCAUACGAUCUACGGAUGAAAGCGGGGGAUCGCAAGACCUCGCGCGAAUGGAGCGGCCGAUGUCAGAUUAGGUAGUUGGUGGGGUAAAGGCUCACCAAGCCGACGAUCUGUAGCUGGUCUGAGAGGACGACCAGCCACACUGGGACUGAGACACGGCCCAGACUCCUACGGGAGGCAGCAGUGGGGAAUUUUGGACAAUGGGCGCAAGCCUGAUCCAGCCAUUCCGCGUGCAGGAUGAAGGCCUUCGGGUUGUAAACUGCUUUUGUACGGAACGAAACGGUUACGUCUCUAAUACA